GACCCCUGUGCCCUGGAGUCCACUGAGUGAAGCCACACGGCUGGACUGCCUUGCACCUGCCAUCGGUCCGCACACCCCAUCCUGCGCCAGCCUCCAGGACACAAUGGCUUCCAGGAAGCGCCGGGGAGGGGAGAGAAAAGACUCGCAACAAUGGCCCCGGCCGGCCUGUUCUGCCCUGUCCCGCCCCAGCCUGCCACGAGACCCUGCCGAGUCCCCUCUGAGGCCGCCACUGGCACCCCAAGUGGCCAAGGCCCCCGGAGACCCUUAAGGGCUGGGAACCCCAAGGCUCCCGAGGCUGGGGCUGCAGAGUCUCGGCCCCACGGCCAGUACCACGGCCCCCACUUCUGGGCCGGAAUGGAAGGAACAGGCCUUCUCUUCAAGGCUCCCAGAGUGACCUGUCGUCACCCUCACACCUGAGGUGCUGCUGUGGCCAGCUCUGGCCCAGGUGGCCUCGUUGUCCCUGUGUGUCCUAGCUGUGGGAAGCGGGAGCAGAGAGAAGGUGUCUGUCCUGCCAGCUUCCUGCUGUCCGGUGCCGCCUCCCGGGGAACGAAGGUGCUGAUCCGGGGUGCCGGCCAUGUGGGGGUGCACAGGCUUGGGCAGGCAGCUGGGCAGGGACAGCCAGAGUGGUGUCUGGCGCUCAGGGCCGGACUACAGCUCUGGUGGGCUGAUUGCCUGGCCUGGCAGCACCCUGCUGUCAGCCCUCCCUCCCUGAAUGCGGUCAGCUGCCUGCGACAUGGCCUGGCCGGCAAGCCCAGGAAGCCGGUAUGAAGUGGAAUCAGCAGAGCAUUAAACAAGGCUGUAUAGGAAGUACAGCGCAGGUAUCUGCUUCUGGGGAGGCCUCAGGAAGCUUCCAAUCAUGGCAGAAAGGAAGGAGAACCCAAAAGUCACAUGGAGGGAGAGGGUGCCAGGGAGAGGAGGAGGUGCCAGCUGCUGUGUGAACUACUGGAGCAAGAAAGCACUCAUCAUCACUGGACAGCAGCAAGCCACUCCUGAGGAAUCCGCCCCUGGUGCAGACACCUCCCACCAGGCCCACUUCCAACCCUGGAAGUCACGUUUCAACAUGAGAUUUGGAGGGGGGGCCACACAUCCAAACCAAACAAACCCUCUGCUUGCUAGACGUCUCCCCUCCCCCACCCCCCCUCCCCCAGCCCUUGGCAGCCACCCCUCUUUGUUCUAUGGAUUUACCUGUGCUGAAAAUCUCAUCUAAUGAUCCUAUGAUGUUUGUCAUUUUGUGUCUGGCUUAUUUCACUUGGUGUGAUGUCUUCAAUGUUCAUCCACGUGUGUCAGAAUGUCAUUUUUUUUGAGACAGAAUGUUGCUCUGUUGCCCAGGCUGGAGCGCAACGGCGUGAUCUCUACUCACUGCAAGCCCCACCUCCCGGG
rnacentral:lncRNA from 10 species